rnacentral:rRNA from 1 species
CCUACGGGAGGCUGCAGUGGGGAAUAUUGCACAAUGGGGGAAACCCUGAUGCAGCGACGCCGCGUGAGUGAAGAAGUAAUUCGUUAUGGAAAGCUUUUUUAGUAGGGAAGUAAAUGACGGUACCUGUGUAAGAAUCCCCGUCUAACUACGUGCCAGCAGCCGCGGUAAUACGGAGGGGGCAAGCGUUAUCCGGAUUUACUGGGUGUAAAGGGAGCGUAGACGGCAUUGCAAGUCAGGAGUGAAAGGCGGGGGCUCAACCCCCGGACUGCACUGGAAACUGUACGGCUGGAGUGCAGGAGAGGUAGGUGGAAUUCGUGGUGUAGCGGUGAAAUGCGUAGAUAUUAGGAGGAACACCAGUGGCGAAGGCAGCUUACUGGACUGUAACUGACAUUGAGGCUCGAAAGCGUGGGGAGCAAACAGGAUUAGAUACCCCUGUAGUC